GUUUGAUCCUGGCUCAGAUUGAACGCUGGCGGCAUGCCUUACACAUGCAAGUCGAACGGUAACAGGUCUUUCGGGAUGCUGACGAGUGGCGAACGGGUGAGUAAUACAUCGGAACGUGCCUAGUAGUGGGGGAUAACUACUCGAAAGAGUGGCUAAUACCGCAUGAGAUCUAUGGAUGAAAGCAGGGGACCUUCGGGCCUUGUGCUACUAGAGCGGCCGAUGGCAGAUUAGGUAGUUGGUGGGAUAAAAGACUUACCAAGCCUGCGAUCUGUAGCUGGUCUGAGAGGACGAUCAGCCACACUGGGACUGAGACACGGCCCAGACUCCUACGGGAGGCAGCAGUGGGGAAUUUUUGGACAAUGGGGGAAACCCUGAUCCAGCAAUGCCGCGUGCAGGAUGAAGGCCU
rnacentral:rRNA from 1 species